UUCACUACAUGCUCCUGGUGGAGAUGAACUUGAAGUGGCGUUUGAUCUGCCGGUCCCGGUAGCCAGUCUCUGCUAAGCCUGGCUCAUCCCACAUCAAAGGAGACAAUAGUGAAGUCAGAGGAAGAAAAGCUGCCCACACUUCAAAGGGAAUUCCUCCUCCGGAAGUUGUUACAGCCUUUUAAGGAGAGUAAACAGCAGUACAGCUCACGGGACUCACAGUGCUCUGGGCCCAGCAUUUGGAGUCCCCUGCCCUGCCCUCCUGCCAUGGAUUGGCAGGAGGCUAAGCUGGCGGUGGACACGCAGGUCGACAGACCCCUCCCCACCCGUCUAUGGCCCAGUUUUUAUGGACAGAGAGGGGCAGAGACAGGCUGAAACGGGUUGGGGAGUUUCCUGGCACUCUAACUGGCCACGGAGGCGGCUGAUCGGCGCGGACCCUCUUGUGGGCCCUGGGUACCUCAGAUGAGGAAACUGAAACACAUGCUGAACAGGGAUAAGGAAUUCGGUCACGGUCACAUAACUGAGCAGUCCUUUCACAGUGCGCUCCAGGAAGAUGAAGAUCCUCAGCAUCACACCUUACAACCUGGAGAUUUCAUCUAUCAGAAAAGACCCCUCCAGAAGGAUGCUCUUCAAUCUCACUGGAAAGACACUAUCAGGUACUAUAACUAAUCCUGGUGCCACCAAACUCCAGGGAAUAGACUCUUGGAUUCACGUGACUCGCCUGAAGGCAGCACCCAACCCUGACUGGACCUGUACAUCAUCUGGGGACUUAAAAAAGAUUUCCCGAAUUGAAGCAGAUGACAUCUGAUGAGACAGCUUUCCCAAGAUGUCCAGACCAUGCCUGUUAGAAGGUUGGUGGCAAACUUUUGAUGAUGACGUAACACUUCAGAUGAUCUCCCGUGCCCAUGAUCUUGAUAACAUGUGGAAGGACUUCAGAUAAAAAGUCCUGACAGUUCUUCCUUCUACCCCUCCUUGUUACUCAAAUGGGACCUCCAUAGGUUUCCAAUCUAUGCACUUUCCCUCUGACACGGGACACAACACCCAGGAAAAAGUCCUUCCUGGCUUCGAGAGACAAAAGCCUUUUGAAACCAAAAAUAUCUGACUCUUGCUCAACAAUGCUUUCAGAAAAAGAUCUUGAUCAAAAGGGGAAAAUGUGGAAAUUAAUAAACAGAAACCUCAUUAAAAUGGAGUCAGGAGGUCAAAAGGGGGAGCUCUCAUGCCCUACUUGAUAGCAGAGCCCAACAAGAAGAAGAAAGAUUUCCUCUUCUUGAUCACCAAGAAGUUCAGCCAAUUAGAGACUGUCACAGCUCAGCCAAUAAAAAAAACACUACAGGGGCCGGCCUGUGGCUGAGUGGUUAAUUUCCCAUGCUCCACCUCGGCGGCCCAGGGUUUUGCUGGUUUGGAUCCUGGGUGUGGACAUGGCAUCACUCGUCAGGCCAUAUUGAGGUAGCGUCCAACGCGCCAUAACUAGAAAGACCCCCAACUAAAAUAUACAACUAUGUACCAGGGGGCUUUGGGGAGAAAAAGAAAAAAUAAAAUCUUUAAAAAGAACAAAAAAACCUACUACACUUUGAGCUCCCUCCAAUGGACCCUUUGUUUACAACAGCCCCCCCAACUUCCUCCUCCCCUUUAUGAAAGACUUCCUCCUCCCUUUGCUGCUGGGCCCUGGAGCCUGGCUUGCCAUGGCUGCAGACCUCAAAUUGCAAUUCUUUGCUGAUCCUGAAUAAACUCAUUUUUG